rnacentral:rRNA from 1 species
CCUACGGGUGGCUGCAGUGGGGGAUAUUGCACAAUGGGGGAAACCCUGAUGCAGCGACGCCGCGUGGGCGAAGAAGUAUUUCGGUAUGUAAAGCCCUAUCAGCAGGGAAGAAGAAAUGACGGUACCUGAGUAAGAAGCACCGGCUAAAUACGUGCCAGCAGCCGCGGUAAUACGUAUGGUGCAAGCGUUAUCCGGAUUUACUGGGUGUAAAGGGCGUGUAGCCGGGAAGGCAAGUCAGAUGUGAAAUCUGGAGGCUCAACCUCCAAAUUGCAUUUGAAACUGUUUUUCUUGAGUACUGGAGAGGCAGACGGAAUUGCUUGUGUAGCGGUGAAAUGCGUAGAUAUAAGGAGGAACACCAGUGGCGAAGGCGGUCUGCUGGACAGCAACUGACGGUGAGGCGCGAAAGCGUGGGGAGCAAACAGGAUUAGAUACCCCUGUAGUC